UCGCAACUUCUUUUGGUGUGG
rnacentral:siRNA from 2 species